rnacentral:rRNA from 1 species
UACGUAGGGCGCAAGCGUUGUCCGGAAUUAUUGGGCGUAAAGAGCUCGUAGGCGGUUUGUCGCGUCUGCUGUGAAAACCUGAGGCUCAACCUCGGGCUUGCAGUGGGUACGGGCAGACUAGAGUGCGGUAGGGGUGACUGGAAUUCCUGGUGUAGCGGUGAAAUGCGCAGAUAUCAGGAAGAACACCCGUGGCGAAAGCGGCUCUCUGGAACGGUACUGACGCUGAGACGCGAAAGCGUGGGGAGCGAACAGG